AGAAGUAAAGACAAAGAAAUAUUGAGACAAAAGAUAUUCAAGGAUAUGAUAAAGAGCAUAUUUAUUGACCAAAAUGGCAUAUCUUUCUUAGUCUUCCUGCCCCCAAUGGAAUGAGCAGAACAUGGUACUAAUACCAGCAUUAAAAGGAAAAAAAACUAAAAGAAGACAUGCCAAUGUACAAGUUACAUCAUAGUUUAUGUAUUAUUUCUAACAAAUCUCAU
rnacentral:lncRNA from 1 species